AACCCAACAGCUAGCCCACCUACCAACCUAACAACUAACUAUAAAUAAACCCUAAUACCCCAAACCUAAAAUAAACAAACCAUUUUUCCGUCCUAGUAUGUGCGACAGAAAAG
rnacentral:rRNA from 1 species